UACAGAGGUCCCAAGCGUUGUUCGGAUUCACUGGGCGUAAAGGGUGCGUAGGCGGUCGGGUAAGUCUGAUGUGAAAUCUCACAGCUUAACUGUGAAACUGCAUUGGAUACUAUCCGGCUCGAGGAAUGGAGGGGAGACUGGAAUACUUGGUGUAGCAGUGAAAUGCGUAGAUAUCAAGUGGAACACCGGUGGCGAAGGCGGUUCUCUGGGCCUGUACUGACGCUGAGGAGCGAAAGCGUGGGGAGCGAACAGG
rnacentral:rRNA from 1 species